CCCUNAUCUGUUUCAUUUUGGCCCCGAGAUUGAGCUUGGUCUUCUCGGGCACGACCCUUGGUUCCUGUGUUGCCUUCCCGUCGUACGGAAAGUUUCGUGAGAUUGCCCCCGCCCCUUUCCCCCUUGUGGCUCUGCGGCUGCAAAGUGGACCUCGAAAGCAGGCCUCGUGUCCCGGACAUGUCCUCUGACUGUUGUCGUGGCUGUAUCGGUGCACGGGGCGACUGCUCGCGCUCUCGGAUGUGGAAAAUUAAGCGGACAUUGGGGGGCCUCGGCCCCCGGUUGCUCCCAAUCAAGUCCCUCGAUAGGAAUGACUUUCGAUGCCCUCAAUGACCGCAGGCCGUCCAGGCCCGUGGCAGCAAAUGAGGGACCGAAGUC
rnacentral:misc_RNA from 1 species